CGGGGUGCAGCAGGCGCGAAAACUUUACACUGUUCGACACUACGAUGGGGUUAUUUCUGAGUGCCAUGAUACAAUCUUGGCUUUUCUCUAUGCCUAAUAUCCAGUGCAAAUCAGAGGCCGGCCAAAAUCGUUUCCACCCCCCCCGUUAACCCCGCCCCUUCAAUUGUUAACCCUUUUUAUUGGUUCUAAACGUUCUGUACCCGGUUGAAUCAUUCUCUUGUAAAUUCCGACUCCUUAACUUUCGAGUUGUCAUGAUAUACUGUCCCUCUCGAGACCGAUAGAUGUGAGAUGUACUUCAUGGGUAGGGGUGAAAUCUUGUAAUCCUUGAAAGACCACCAGUGGCGAACGCCUCUCACCAAAACGGAUCUCACUGCAAGGGACAAAAUCUAGGGGCACGAACCAGAUUAUAUACCCGGGUACUCCUAUCCGUAAACAAUCUCUCUAGGUGUCGGCCACGGUGCGACCGUGGUCGGUGCCGUAGGGAAGCCGUGAAUCGAGCCACCUGGGAAGUACGGCCGCAAGGCUGAAACUUAAAGGAAUUGGCGGGGGAGCAC
rnacentral:rRNA from 1 species